UGCGCUGGCCCCGGCGCUCUCCCGAGGCAGGGGCGGGCCCGCGUCCCCGGCUCGCUGCCGGCUUUUCCUUCCCGUCCUUCCUUCCCGUCCUUCCCAGCUCCGUGACGAGGCGGUUACUCAGCGCCUGAACUUCCGCGCUGCUGAGCAUCGCCACGGCCAUUUUGGGCUCCUCCGCUUCCCAGAGGAGGAGGAGGAGGAGGCGGAGCUGGGGAGGGGGGGGAGGAGGGUACCCAAACCCCUUUUAACCCCUCUGCUGCCGGAGCCUUUCCAUCCGCUCCACACACACCCCAUUCCCCCUUGAGCGGAGAUGUUGCUCCGUGCGCCCCCAACCCUGGUGCUCGCCCCCUUCCCCAGACCCCGGCACGGGCGAUUUGUACGCGAUGGACGACUCGCAGCUGGUGAGCGACAAAUCCCCCUUGGAGGAGCCCCCCGACCUGGCCGCCAGCCCCCCACUCCACGCCGGCCCCUUCAGCCUGCUGCCCGCCAGCCCCUCGCCCGCCCCGCUGCUCCAGGCCCCCGGCUCGCCGCCAGCCCUGCCCGGCGACAACGGCGAGCUGAAGAGCGGCGACCACGCGGGGCUGCGGGACUCGGGGUCCCUGGAGCUCGACCCUCCGCUGGAGCCGGACUCGCCGGCCCCGUCUGCUGAGGAGGAGGAGGAGGAGGAGGAAGAAGAAGAGGAGGAGGAGGCUGCCGACAGCUGCCCGGAGACUUCGGCCGCGCCAGGAGAGGGGGAGAGCGAGGAGCCGGCCCUGCUGAGCGCCUCGGGGGCAGGUGAUGUCCCUCGGCGGCGCAUCGCCACGCAGGAGGAGGUGCGCUUCCCGCUGCAGCACGGGUACGUGGGGUGGCCCCCGAGCCUGUUCCCUUUCCCCUGUCCCGUUCCUGUCCCCCUCUGGCCGUUCUGCCCCCGACCCUUUUCCCUUUCCAUCCUCUUCUUCCUGUCCCCCUCCCGCCGUCCUGCCCCACUGCUCUGUCCCCGGCACUGUCCUCUCCUCAUCCUGCCUCAAAAACUACCAAAACUACCGUCCCCUUCCCACCAUCCUGCUCCUGAAAUUAUCCCCAUCGCGUCCCCAUCCUGUCCCCUCGUGUCCCCAUCCCCUCCCCAUCCUGCUCCUGUCCCCACCCCUUUCCCAUCCUCCCCCUCUCUCCAUCCCUUUCCCAUCCUGUCCCCAUCCCCGACCCCUCCCACUGCUCUGUCCCCUCGGUCCUGUCCCCUCCCCAUCCUGCCUCAAAAACUACCAAAACUACAUCCCCUUCUCACCAUCCUGCUCCUGAAACCAUCCCCAUCCUGUCCCCUUUGUG
rnacentral:lncRNA from 1 species